GGCGGGUUAGCGUAAUGGUUAACGCGUCAGUUUCCGGUGACCUGAGCUCGAACUCAGGACUCCCACGAGCUGAAGAUUCCGGGUUCGAGUCCCGGGCCUGUCG